rnacentral:rRNA from 1 species
GAUGAACGCUAGCGGCAGGCUUAAUACUAUGCAAGUCGUGGGGCAGUCAUGAGUAGCAAUACUUGAUGGCGACCGGCAAACGGGUGAGGAACACGUACACAACCUUCCUUCAAGCGGGGAAUAGCCCAGAGAAAUUUGGAUUAAUACCCCAUAAUAUAUUUGAUAAGGCAUCUUAUUAAUAUUAAAGCUUUCGGCACUUGAUGAUGGGUGUGCGGCUGAUUAGAUAGUUGGCGGGUAACGGCCCACCAAGUCUACGAUCAGUAGCUGAUGUGAGAGCAUGAUCAGCCACACGGGCACUGAGACACGGGCCCGACUCCUACGGGAGGCAGCAGUAAGGAAUAUUGGACAAUGGACGAAAGUACUGAUCCAGCCAUGCCGCGUGAAGGAUU